AAUGAACGUUGGCGGCGUGGAUUAGGCAUGCAAGUCGCGCGAUUUCCUUCGGGGAAGAGCGGCGGAAGGGAGAGUAACGCGUAGAUACCUACCCUCGGGACCGGAAUAGCGACGGGAAACUGUCGGUAAUGCCGGAUAACGUCCCUGGACCAAAGGUGUGAAUCCGCCUGAGGAGGGGUCUGCGUCCUAUUAGCUAGUUGGCGGGGUAACGGCCCACCAAGGCGAAGAUGGGUACCGGGCGUGAGAGCGUGACCCGGCUCACUGGGACUGAGACACUGCCCAGACACCUACGGGUGGCUGCAGUCGAGAAUCUUCGGCAAUGAGCGCAAGCUUGACCGAGCGACGCCGCGUGCGGGAUGAAGGCUUUCGGGUUGUAAACCGCUGUCAGUGGGGAGGAAAUUCUUGGGGGUACUCCCCCUUGAUUGACCGAUCCGCAGAGGAAGGACGGGCUAAGUUCGUGCCAGCAGCCG
rnacentral:rRNA from 1 species